CCUGACAAGUCGCGACAACAGACGCCGCUCCACUCCCCGCAACAAGCUCCACGUGGCAAGUCAUGGUGAUGGCCACGAUUCCACUCCACUACUCUUCAUAACAAACUCCUCCUGGCCCCGAACGGCCCACUGCCAAACGGUUACAAAUGUUGCUAUCAGUCAAUAGCACCCUCCGCCUAUAAAAAGGGGACCCCAGAUACGUUAUCCUCUAAGCUCUAAUUUCUAUC
rnacentral:lncRNA from 1 species